UACGUAGGUGACAAGCGUUGUCCGGAUUUACUGGGCGUAAAGAGCGCGCAGGCGGUCGUUCAAGUCGAGUGUGAAAGCCCCCGGCUCAACUGGGGAGGGUCACUCGAUACUGAUCGACUCGAAGGCAGGAGAGGGAAGUGGAAUUCCUGGUGUAGCGGUGAAAUGCGUAGAUAUCAGGAGGAACACCGGUGGUGUAGACGGCUCACUGGACCGUAACUGACGCUGAGACACGAAAGCGUGGGUAGCAAACAGG
rnacentral:rRNA from 1 species